rnacentral:rRNA from 1 species
UACAGAGGUCCCGAGCGUUGUUCGGAUUCAUUGGGCGUAAAGGGUGCGUAGGCGGCGGGGCAAGUCUGAUGUGAAAUCCCGGGGCUCAACCCCCGGAACUGCAUUGGAUACUGCCUUGCUUGAGUACUGGAGAGGGAACUGGAAUUUACGGUGUAGCAGUGAAAUGCGUAGAGAUCGUAAGGAAGGCCAGUGGCGAAGGCGAGUUCCUGGACAGUUACUGACGCUGAGGCACGAAGGCCAGGGGGAGCAAAACGGGG